rnacentral:lncRNA from 1 species
CUAAAACAAAGGCGUAAGUUUUGGGGGAAAUAAAAUAGAUAAGCAAAAUAUAAAAUAAAAAUCAAGAAAUCAAAAGUGGAGAUUUUUUUAUUUGUGGGGAAUGUUGUCUGGCUCGAGGAAAUCUUCAAUCCUGAUCAAUUUUUUUUUAUACAUAUUUUUAUAGUAAUUACUAUAUUGUUACAUAGAUCUAUACAAUAUUUAUGAUAGAUCUAUGAAUUUUUGAUUAUAUUGUUGGGUGUCGUCGGACCAGGCUUCAUUCCCCUCAAAGAUUAUAUCUACCACAUAAUUAAUUUCAGAUCUUUACAAGAGGUAAGUCUUUUGAUUAGUUUUUCAUGUAUUAUGUGGACUAUAUCGGAAACAGUCUUUCUAUUUUUGAGGCAGAGAUAAGAUUUGCGUAUUAUAUGUUGUUAUUGUUGUUCAGUUGUAGUUGUUCAUGUACUAGUAUCCAACAGUUUGGACAAAUUGUACUUGUUUUAUGUAACCUAAAAUAACUUGUGUGUCAUUUAUAGUUUUUUUUUUGCUGAUUGGUGUAAUGAUAAGGAUCUUGACUUUAGUGGUUUUUUUUUUUCAGAUUCUCAAUUUUUUUCAUGAUUACAACCUUUUUUUUGUUGAUACUAUGUUGUUUCAUUUUGUCAGUAAAUAAAAAGACAUAUACUUUUGUUCAUCAUUGUGUUAUGAUUGUGGCCAUGAUGAUGAUUUUUUUUUCCAGAUCUGUUCAAAACCCUUUUCUUCUUUUGGUUUUCAAAGGUUUUUCUCACUCUCUCUAUCUCACACAAACACACAAUUUUAGUACUAUCUAUUUUCAACACUUUGUUUGGGUGAUUGCUAUAUAUUAUUUCAUAAUGUAUUAUAUUGUUUAUAUGAAUAUAAGGUAAAUUUUUUGGAUAAAUUAUGUUAUUCUGUGCUACAAAAUAUUACAUAUCAACAAUUUGAAGGAUAAAUCUACGAGAAUACUAAUAUAUUGUUGAAAUAACAUAAGCUUUUAAUAUGCAUUACUAUAUAUUACUAGAUCUGACCAUUUUGUUUUGAUAAUAUCAAGAUUAUGUUGUAUUUUAUUAUCCCAUAGUUUACAUUAUUUCUGCUAUUAAUGUAUUCUCGAGUUUUGUUUUCAACGUUGGGAAACUAAACUCACUUGAGGAAUAUUUUAAUUAAUCUCCACAAUAUACAUAUAGUAGCAUUUGGUAAAUAUUUUAUACUCUAACAAUUGUUUCUACCGUAACAAAAAUGUGAGUUAAUUUGAUAUAAUUCCAAGAUAGAAUUUGUGCAUUUUUCUUAUUUGUCUUUAAGACACAUGUCUAGGAACAGAUUGAUGAUUUAAAUUGACAUGUUCAACCUUUAAGGUUAUCGUGUUGAAAUUUUGUAGGUUUAGUUGAACACAUUGAUCAAAGGUUGCAUCGUUUCAUAUCAUAUUUAUAUAAUUAAAGGUCAAAAUUAAUUAUUUUUUUAUAGUAAACAUUAUACUGAAUAUGUUAUUGUUGUUGUUGCAGUAUCUGGACACUAGCUACUUCUAGCCACAUUGUAUAGGAAAAAGUACUAGCUGGAGUAAUUUUAUUUUGGUUUGAAUAUUGUUUAAUAUUUGGUGAUUGUUCUUUUUAUACUAAUAUUUUUUAAUUUUUUUUGUGCAAAUAGGACUAGGUUUGAUUGUUCUUGUUGCUAUUAGAUUUGAGUCCUUAAUGAAUACCUAAGAGUAAUGUUGUUUUAUAUAGACCUGCAGGCUGCAGAAGCUAACACCACCUUUAGGUUACCCAUAUCGUUUAAGAAUUUAGAAAACUUAGAUUUCUCAAGUAAAAAAGUAUGCUGGAGAACCAUAAAUUUUCAAAUAUUUGUGUGAUUAUAAAAUUUAAUCGCUUUUUUUGAAAAUUUGUUCUAUAAAUAUUUUCAAAUUUUCAAAAAUUGGUUUAGAACAAUUUUUGGGUUAUUUGGACUUUCACUCACAAUACUUUAAUAUUUUUCAAUCAAAUGUGUGUUCAAAUUUCAAGUUUUCACUUUAAAUUCAUGAUUUUAAAAAAAUAAUAAUUUCCUAGUGAUCCUGGGAGUGUUGCAUUUCAUUCCAUAUAAAGAUUUAAAUUACAAAACAAAGGAUAGAGAUUAAUUAAAAUGUCAUCCGUUUAUAGUUUGGCUUAAAAAAUGUCAUUGCCGUUAAUAUUUUGGUUCAAAAAGGUCCUUGCAAUCAAUACUUUCACUAUAAAUGCAUUUUUGAACUUAAGUAUUGACGGUAAAAGUAUUUUUUAGCCAAUUUAUUAACGGAGGACAUUUUUAUUCAUUUCACAUAGCUUAAGAGCAUUUUUUUUAUAACCAUUUUCUCUAAAGAAAAAUUGUUUUGUUAAAUUUCGAUUUAAUAUUUGAUCUCUAUCCAUGAGAAAAGGACCAUUUGCAUCCUUAGAAAGUUGUUGGGAUCUAUUGUCAAAUGGAAUCUUAUAGUGAUAGACUCACUGUUAAAUCAUCUGUUGCUUCAGUUUCAAUUUAUGUAGCUAAAUUUGAAUAGACAAGAUUUUUUUCUUAUUUUUUAUAAAAGAUUACUUUUCAAAUUUGUGGUUAAUAAUGUUUUAUUUUAUUUGUGUAGGUAUAAGAUUUUUGAAAUUUGAUAUUAAGCAUCCGUAGCAUUUAUUUAGUACUGUCUUCUUUCCAUUUUA